AGACGCUGGCGGCGUGCCUAACACAUGCAAGUCGAGCGGAGUCGAUCGACGGAAGCCUUCGGGCGGAAGAUGGUUGACUUAGCGGCGGAUGGGUGAGUAACGCGUGGGCAACCUGCCUCGAAGACCGGGAUAACAGCCCGAAAGGGCUGCUAAUACCGGAUGUGGUCAAAGAUCCGCAUGGAUUUUGAUUAAAGGGGAAACCCGUUUCGAGAUGGGCCCGCGUCCUAUCAGCUAGUUGGUGAGGUAAAAGCUCACCAAGGCGACGACGGGUAGCCGGCCUGAGAGGGUGACCGGCCACACUGGAACUGAGACACGGUCCAGACUCCUACGGGGGGCAGCAGUGGGGAAUCUUCCACAAUGGGCGAAAGCCUGAUGGAGCGACGCCGCGUGAGCGAAGAAGGCCUUCGGGUUGUAAAGCUCUGUCUGGAGGGACGAAGGAAGUGACGGUACCUCCGGAGGAAGCCACGGCUAACUACGUG
rnacentral:rRNA from 1 species